AACGAACGCUGGCGGCAUGCCUAACACAUGCAAGUCGAACGAGACCUUCGGGUCUAGUGGCGCACGGGUGCGUAACGCGUGGGAAUCUGCCCUUGGGUUCGGAAUAACUCGCCGAAAGGCGUGCUAAUACCGGAUGAUGACGUAAGUCCAAAGAUUUAUCGCCCAAGGAUGAGCCCGCGUUGGAUUAGCUAGUUGGUGAGGUAAAGGCUCACCAAGGCGACGAUCCAUAGCUGGUCUGAGAGGAUGAUCAGCCACACUGGGACUGAGACACGGCCCAGACUCCUACGGGAGGCAGCAGUGGGGAAUAUUGGACAAUGGGCGAAAGCCUGAUCCAGCAAUGCCGCGUGAGUGAUGAAGGCCUUAGGGUUGUAAAGCUCUUUUACCCGGGAUGAUAAUGACCGUACCGGGAGAAUAAACUCCGGCUAACUCCGU
rnacentral:rRNA from 1 species